UGGGACCACCCUCCUCCCUUCCUUUACAUCUUUCAAUUUUGUUUUUUAUUAUUAAGUUUUUUCAGCUUUUCAAUAUUCCAUCUAAUUCUUAAUAAAAUGAUAAUUCUACCUUCUGCCUCUAUUUAUACCCUCCUCUCAUCUUCUUUCUUUUCCAUCAAACCCUAGCUCACUACCUAGCAAAUUAAAGGCCCCCCUUCUCUCUCUCUCCCCCCCUCUCUCUCCCUCUCUCUCAAAAUCUCUAGUCUUGCUCAAAGGAUGGAUCACGAGUACUGUACAUAUUUUCUUAUCAUGCAUUUGUAGCAGUUGAAGCUGCCAGCAUGAUCUUAACCUCCCUAUUUUGGUUAGGGAAGAUCAGAUCAUGUGGCAGUUUCACCUGUUAUUGGUAGCAUGAGAUCAAACCCUAAUUCCCACAUAAACCUUUGCAAUCCCUAGAUAAAAGCUGCUCGGAAAUGUCAGCUGUUUUGGGGUUGUUAGGGUUUUGAAUGACAGAAACUGUGUGUUUCCACGCAGUUCGAUGAUUUCAAGAUCCUCAACUGGCACUUUGGUCAUUGAGCCACGGCUACCGAGCAAACCUGCCGUACUCUUUUUGAUUAUUAGUCAUACGGCCUGCAUCAAGAUUUCAUAUGUAUGUAUGCAUAUACAUUCAUGAUAUUACCAUGAAUUUAAGAUUUUCCAUUCAAUCCCA